rnacentral:rRNA from 1 species
UACGUAGGGUGCAAGCGUUGUCCGGAAUUAUUGGGCGUAAAGAGCUCGUAGGCGGUCUGUCGCGUCUGCUGUGAAAACUCAGGGCUUAACCCUGAGCUUGCAGUGGGUACGGGCAGACUAGAGUGCGGUAGGGGAGACUGGAAUUCCUGGUGUAGCGGUGAAAUGCGCAGAUAUCAGGAGGAACACCGGUGGCGAAGGCGGGGUCUCUGGGCCGUAACUGACGCUGGAGGAGCGAAAGCAUGGGGAGCGAAACAGG